UCUUCGUUGCAAUUAAAUUUUUUAAUUAUUUUACAACUUUUUAAUGUUGCACAGAAAAUUGCAUACUAAAAACUCUUCCAACGAAAGGCGAACGCGGAACUGUGACUAUUAUUUGACCCACGUCGUAAUGGGCACGAACAAGCCAGAGCGACCCGCAAACGCAGUGAACGAACAAAUGUAUAGGAUAUGUUGGAUGACGGGUGGCUGGCUGCUUGGCAGGUUGGAUGCAACGACCCAGCUAACGACUAGUCAAACGGCCGACCGGCUGAAGAAACGAAUAGCCGAAGGUAAAUAAUAACAACAACAACAGUGUGUGGUGUAGAAAACGAGAUUAAGAUUUUGAGCGCAAAAAUGCAAAACAAAAACAAAUAAUAUAUAUAUAUGAGGCGUUUCGUUACAAUUACAUAUAUAUGAGACUGUAAGUAUAACCAAAGGCCUCGUACUCCUCAACUAGGUGGCUACACCCCCGGCUACUUAGUGGUUUUAAUGACACCACCUCUACGCUCACUAAUUAGGAGAAUGUCAGUGAACAAGAGAAAUUUGUAUUACUCAUGAACAAAUAAUUAAGAACUAAUAAAUAUAUUAAAUGGUGAAAGAGCAAAGCAGUUAAAAUAUGCAUCAACCCAGACGAAAAGUUAAAAGUAUUUACAAAAACAAUUCACAAAUGUCUAAACGGCAAACUUUGGCUUUUCCUCAACUUCUUUGCGUCGCAGAUCAUUGAGUACACAAAUUGACUGUGAAAUGUGUUGGAGAAACUUACACCAAAAUAUGCGAAAGUGUGUAUGGAGGAGGUGGACAAUAAAGACGUACGUAAGCUGGCACGUUUAGCUUUAACGCAAUAGUACAAGAUUAAGAUAAAUAAUAUACAAGUAUGCCAAAAAUGCAGACUGAGACAAGUGUGGCGAUAACUCUAUUGGCAGCAAAGCAUAAUUUGUUUGGGGCAAAUUAACGAAACUAUGCGAAAAACUAAUCAAAGCGAAAAUUGAAAUUAAAAUCAAAAAAUCCAGUAUUGAUGGCUGAUACUACUCACAGUAAUAGUAUGUGGAAAUAUUUAUUUUCGAUAGUUUAAAAGUUUAUUAAUAUCUCACUAUUCUGUAAUCUACGAAGAUGUCUGCAAUGAAGGAUAUGUUUAUUAAGUGUGUGCUGAAGCGCAACUAUAAUUAUGUGCUAAAAAACUUAAUUCAACCUGAAUCUUCAUAGCAAAGAAAGCUCAAUAGAGGAGAGUGCAUAAGCCAUAGAUUUUUACACAAAUACAUAUGUAUGUACAUACAUGUGUUGUUGUCGCAGUGCUGAGCGUGAUUAAAUGAAUGAAGGUUGCAGCAGAAAGCUGCAUAACAGAAAUAGGUUAGUGUUAUUAGUGAGUGUUGCGUUGGUGUAGAAUAAAUAAGGUUAGUAACAGGGUUGCCAUUAGGCAAGGCAAACUGUUAAAAAAUUUGAUAUAUCAUUCUUUUCCAAACUACACUAAAAUACUUUCAUUAUUUUUUUAUAAACCCACUAUAAAU